rnacentral:rRNA from 1 species
CCUACGGGGGGCAGCAGUGAGGAAUCUUGGUCAAUGGGCGCGAGCCUGAACCAGCCAAGUCGCGUGAGGGAGGACGGCCCUACGGGUUGUAAACCUCUUUUGCCGGGGAGCAACGGGCGCCACGUGUGUCGUCACUGAGAGUACCCGGAGAAACAGCAUCGGCUAACUCCGUGCCAGCAGCCGCGGUAAUACGUAGGAGGCGAGCGUUAUCCGGAUUUAUUGGGUUUAAAGGGAGCGUAGAUGGGUUGUUAAGUCAGUUGGGAAAGUUUGCGGCUCAACCGUAAAAGUGCAAUUGAUACUGGCAGUCUUGAGUACAGAUGAGGUAGGCGGAAUUCGUGGUGUAGCGGUGAAAUGCUUAGAUAUAACGAAGAACUCCGAUUGCGAAGGCAGCUUACUAAACUGCCACUGACAUUGAUGCUCGAAAGUGUGGGUAUCAAACAGGAUUAGAGACCCUUGUAGUC